rfam:Pseudomonas sp. GM78 PMI35_contig89.89, whole genome shotgun sequence.
UGUGGCCGGGAACGCUGUGGCAGUCGAUCAUCGCAUGCUGCCGCCGUUGCUUCCCUCCGCU